UCUAUCCUUUCCCCUAGCCUUAGAUUUCUCAGUACCCACAAAAUCUGUGUCUCGGGGGGCAGGGAGGGAUGCUUACCUGCACAGACUUUCAUUUGAUGUCUUUACAAAUUUAUUUGCCUGUCCAGUUUCCCAGACACCAUUUCUUAGACAAGGACCCUGAUGCCACUGCUCAUCACUGAGUGAUGGCAAGUAGUGCAGAAAGGAAUACCUCUGAAGAAGCAAUUCUGAUAAAAAGCAAGACAGAAAUGGUUUUUCCCCUUUGCAGUGUGACCUUCAACCCUUACAGCUAUCUAUGUUGUUACACUCUAUUGAUUGUCCUUCAGAUAAGCAAGCUGAUCUGUUACGAUUAAUUUAACCAUCCUAUUUACUUGCUUCCCUUCAAGGUCACAAGAUAAACUUGCAUCCAGCUGCCUGAUGAACCCCUGAAAAGCCAAUGGAUGGUUUCUCCACAUACCAGACUCCCCUGCUGUCCAGUGACCUAAAUAAUUGACCUUCCCCAUCAAGCCUUUAACAGUUUGUUUCUGAUGGGCAGCUUGCUAACAGAGCUGCAGUUUUCAGUAUCUAUUAUCUGUGUCUGAGGCAGAAGAUGAUUCCAUCAUUAAUGGCAGGACCACAUUAGUCCCACUUCUGCAGGUGGCUAUCCCUUCACUAAAAGCUGCCUUGCCUGUUCAAUACAAGCCUGCUUUGAUGCUACAGCAGCCACAUCUCAGCCAACAUUUUGACACAAUUGUCUAUGAAAGGAUGAUUGCAAAACCUGCUAGUAGCAUUUGAUAUGUAUGAUCUAAAGGCACAACCAAAACCACUGAACUGGUUUAGGUCUCCCAGUUUGGACACCAUUGCGGUUGAAACUCCCCUGAAACAUCCUGUGGUUGGAGAAAAUUUGUACCCUGGCAGUGAGCCAUGCAGGGCAGCCAUGGACUUCUGUUCACUGGUUUCCACUGGUUACACUUACAGACACUUUGCUGGAUCUGCAAUAUCGAGGUAAACAUGGCUUUAUUAACUUUAGCGAGAAAAAGAACACCAAUUAGUAGUCUCAGGAAGGUGGAUCAGGAUGGGAAAGUUUUAAGUGAGUAUGGGCAUGGCUGUUGCUGACCCAAAAGCUUCAUCUCCUACACACACACCUUACUUUCACCACAAGCAGUGCCAGAAGGUGGUGGUGGUGUGAAGCGUCUGGAGCCCUUGCAAGCCCAUACGUUCUGCCCUCCUCCUCCCAAACCCACAUUUUCUGCAGUAACACCGUGCACAUCCUCUCCAGCACUGACAAAAUUAACUUACCUGCUUUCAGAGCCACUUUGCGUCUCUAUGCAUAGCACAAACUGGGCACAGCUCCUGAGCUAAAUGCACUGCAGCGCACCAGUGCACACACAGGGGGUACAGGAGGUGAGGGGUGCCAGCCAAGGGGAAGGAAGGGCUAGUUUGCAAACAGGGCAAGGGACAGGGAAGUGACAAAGAACAAAUUUGCUUUUCUCUACGGCUCUCAAAAGCCCAUUUGCAGCUCCCCCUCUAAGGGCAACCAUGAAGGAGCAAUGUAGGAAGAAGCAUCUACAACAUAUCCACUCCUUCAAAAGACUAAUUCUGCUCCACUUGCCUCUCCACAGCCCAUACAGAUAGGAGUGUCUGAAGGGACUCGAGGGAAUGGCAGGAAGAUGUGCCAGGGAAGGUUCAGGUUGGACAUUAGGAAAAGCUUCUUCACCCAGAGGGGGGUGGAGCACUGGAACAGGCUCCCCAGGGAGCUGUCACAGCCCCAAGCCUGACAGAAUUCAAGAAGAGACUGGACAACUCCCUCAGACACAUGGUGUGAGCUGUGGAGUUGUCCUAUGUAGGGACAGGAGUUGGGCUCGAUGAUGCUUGAUGCUUCCAACUCAGAACAUUCUCACUGUUUUACAGACAGCUUCAUAACCACUGCCAAGCCAGAGGAGGUGUGGACACAGGCCUGCUGCUGCCCUCUGAAGGCAUCACUCCCUCUGCAGGGAGAUACCAAAUACUAGCCACACUCUCCUCACUUUGAAUUAAGAGGAAAAUGUGUGGUGACAUUGCGAUGGAGCUGGAGCGUUUGUGAGUGAGAAACAAGCUGUGGGCUGAAUUUCCAGUUCAUGUCCCCCUGGAAAACAACCUGGGCUCCAUGGGCCAUCCAUGCUGGGGUAAGUCUUGCUUCCUCACCUGCUUUCCUGAGCUCCAAUGCCAGGCCGCUUCACAUGGGAAGUGGUGCAGGCUCUGCGGAGACCCAGGGGAAGAGGGCAGCCAGGGAGCGCAGGCAACCUGGUACCCCACCUCUUUUCGGAGUUGAGAUGCCAAAUUUGUGCCUUGAUAUAAAGCACACAUUCCUAUCAGGAAUGGGUGGCUUACCACAAAGGGCAGGCCAACAGGAGGAUGCAUCUUCCCAGCCUACUUUCCAGCCUAUUGAAGACACGCCACUGACCAAAGUGCCUGGAAGACUCGCAGGGUUAUGGAAAGAGCCUGACUCUGGCUUGGGGAGGACAGGCCCCAGCCUCAUGGCAUGGAUAGGUACCUGCUGCAGUAAAAUCAGUGGAUAAAACAUAAUCACUUGCUUCUGCUGGCUAAAUAGAUUUUUAUCUGCCUCUAAGUUUCAGUUGUGAAUGAGGAGAGGAGUUUACUUUCGCUUGUAUAGCACUGAUACUUAGAAGUCACCCUUCUUCAGCCUUUUCUGAGAAAGACCCAUACAGGGCGUGAGUGUCACAGCAAGGCCCCAUCUGCAGCCUGCAGUGCAGGCAGGAAACAGCAGCUUGUGCUCUUAGCACAAAACAUGCAGUUCUGAUUCUGGCAACUGGGUGCAAAUCAGUGUCACCAACUUUGGCUGAGUUUCUAUACAACUUAACUCUCCUUUCUCUUGCUGGAAACCCUCAUACACAAUACACAGUGUGUGCCUGGCCCAGGAGACCUGUUGCUGACAUGGGGAUGGAGCCAGGUUGGGAAGGAACAGGGAAUCCAGCUAGAGAAACCGGCUACUCUAGAUCUACAGCAGAAUUAAGAAGUUCACGUAAGUAAGUAAACCAUAAACACCAUAGUCUGUCCCUCACUAGACACUCCAUUUCUGUUCUCUUGGACACACAGGCUGCCUGCAAGGGCCAAGCAUUUUCAGUCUGUUUACUCAGGUUUGUAAACAUCAAGAGCAUUCCUUCCAGGGGAAGCCAUUGUCAUUCGGAACUAAAAAGAAAGUGCAACACCCUACAUCCAAACGCUGCAGUGCUCCCUCUGAUGCAACCAGUGCCAGCACCAAGAUCUAUUGGAUUUCUUUAGAAAACAAUAACACAAAAAACCCAAAACAACCAAACAAAAACAACCAAACAAAAACAACAAAAAAACCAUCACCAAACAACAACCAGAUUGCUGCCCACCCAUCUGGGCAAUGAAAAAGCUCUGCUUGCUAGCAAUAAAAACAUGCUGCUUGCCUAUGGGGGAUGUCAGGAAAAAGGUCAGUUGUACUAAGAAUAAAUCACUUACCUUAAGAAGUAAAAAUACAGAUUUGGUGUGAUGGGAAGUGACUCAAUCUAGGCAAUUACCUGGUUAGAAGGUAACAGACAGAAUUUGGGAGGUGGUGAGAGAAAUCUCUUCUUCAUGUUCUGACAGCUCUUACAGGAGGUUUUCUCAAGUGGAUUGACCAUGAGGGUAGAAGAGACCUGCCCUGCGUCCCUAUCACGUCUGUGUGACAUGGUGAACAGUGAACAAGUAUAACCCCAGAGCAGAACCCUGAGAAUGAAAAUGUUUCUCAUGCCAAGGCUCUGGCCCUGGGACAGAUUCUUUGCUUCCAGCGGACUGAGCUGCUGCAGGCUGAGAGCCUCCUCAGCAGAGGGUGGCCCCUCAGCGCUGCCCCCAAGUCCACCCCCAUGGUCCUGAGGUGCCAGUAUUGCACUGCCAUCAUGACAGCUGCAGGGUGCAGCUUUCUGAGCCAGUCUGCAUGUAAAAUGGAUGGGCUUACAGAAGCUUGUGCAUCUCCUGUGGUUGUAAAAGUGGUGCUCAAGACCAGACCCCCAGUGUGGUUUAUAAAACAAGUUUUGUUUACUUCAGUUUAGAAAGUAAAGCCAUCAGCUUUAAUUUUCCUUAAAAAAAAACAAAACCAACCAAGUAAGUGCACGAUUCAAAAUGGCUUGGUGCAAAUUUUGGCAAAGUAACAGACACAAAAUCAAAAUAAUUCAAAUUAUACUUACAUGCAAAACAAAAGAAAUGCAAGUUAAAACUAGGAGUGGAUUCCUAUUAGCCCUAGAGAUUAUGCAAGAGUAUGUCAGAAAAUAAAUAAAUCAUCCUAAUUUUUACCAUAAAAGAAAGCACUGCUCACUAAUCCAAAUGGUUUGGGUAUUCACAGAAGGCAAAUGGGUUAGAUGAAAAACAGGAAGAAGAAAAACAUUCAUACAAGUGAACUGAAAUGCUGCAAGGUGAUCACUUCCCCACAUGUCCCAUUGUGACUAAGAGAAGGCUUUAAAUCACUACAAGGGGCCAAAAAAAUUCUUUUUACACAGGAUCCCAUAAUCUGCCCCAUGCUGGAGGGACCACAAGAUGAGACCAGCAUGGUCUACUAGGUUUGGCUGCUGCCACAGAGAUUCUGAAGCUCCACCACAAUAUAUGUCCACUCUGCAGCAAAUGACAACAAAUAAGUUCACCUGGUCAGUCCAAUUUAUGGACUGGAGGGUAAUUUAUCAUAGAAUCUAUCUGAAGCGAAGACUGCUUAAAGCCACAUCUACCUGGACCCUCCAUGCUCCAAGGAGGAGGCAGCCAGCACUCUGUUCUUCAACAUGUAAGCUCAGCUGGUGGUCAAAAGACUCAGUAUUUCCCCAACAGUUAGGGUGCCUUAGGUAACUGCAAGAAAAAGCAGGCCCUUUCAAGUAUCUCUUUCAACAUUUGCAAACCACAAAAGACAAAGCAACACCCUUGUUUAUGAAGGCUGUGUGACUUAUGCUCAUCGCUGGUAUUUUUGAUGCUUUGUUACCAAAUGAUAAUCUGCUUUCUUUUUGCUGCACAUGCUACUAAGGCCAAAUCCUGACAGGUCAGAGCUGUACUCUCGGUACAACCAGUGGAGAAGAACAUGUUUAAUGACCAAUAGAAGCAACGCAAAUUCUGCAGUUAAUGUCAUAGCAUGGAAAAAAAUAUCCUGAGGGUUCAUCCUAACCUUGUAUUUUCUUGUCAAGACUGACUUAUUUACAGUCAGUACCACAGGGACUAGAUUAAAGUGGCAGUGGUGUUAUAUCCACAUUUUUAAUAGGAUUUGACAUUUAAGGCAGCAUUUCAAUUCACCUCUAAGCUUGUAACUACACUUGUAAAUCUGCUUAGCAAGACAUCAGCAGAGUGUCCCAGGGGACUGCUCUAAUAGAUUGGUUCUGUUCCCAUAGAAACAGUAUUUGAGCAGCAAGUGAUGCUACAAAGCAGACACUGCAGAUUGUAGUGCCUGAAACAGACACUUGCAAACUGAACCCACUCCUAAUCUUCAAAAUAAAAACCAAGACUGCUGCAAAGUGCUUUACCUUAAAAACAACACUGUGCUGAGUCAGAUAUCACUGGAGGUCAGGAGCACUUCAUGAAUACACUACUGAGACAGGGCUCCUUUCUAUACCCCACUGUUUAUCUUUGGUGUCACAAAAUCUGCAAGUGCUAGAAGUACCAGAGCAGCCCAAGGAUGCAAUCCUGUUCAUCACCUCCUGAUCUUGAACCGUGACAGUCCAGUGCUGAGAAGCACCUUUUUGCUUCUCGCACAAGUGCAGACUCCACCCAGUGCCUCCUUCCCAAAGGAAUCCAUUUAGAUUUCUCGUUUCAUUAUAGCCCUACCACCACCAGCAAAUUGAUGCCAAAUGUCAUGACUAUAUUUUGCUCCAAAUCUACAUAUCCACUCCUCCUUUGCACCCAAUUUUCACCAUCAGCCCCAAACAUAUGACUGGAACCAAAAAAAGUACAUACGAAGUACUCAGCUGCAACUCCAUGUAUACUCAGUUCUCUUCAGGCCUGGGAAAAAAAGUCUGAUUUGUUUGGAUUUGUAUUUUUCAUCCAUUCUCAUGGUAGGCAAAGUGAACUGUCUCACAAGGCACGUGAGCAGAUCUUUCUGCAGGAUGCAAAUGGUUUCAUCCCUGAGUACAACUUUAAAAGAUAAAAAUGCAGUCGUCAGCCAUCACCAGCCUAGUGCCAGAAGCAAAGAGAACAUUUAGCACAGAGCUCUCUGUUGCAGGAACAAAGAGCAAACAAGCAGUGCAAAGCUGAGAAAGAUGAAGAAAAUAAAAAAGGCUAAUUUGUAUCAUACCAAAGAAACAAGGAAACCUCAGGCCAAAGAGUUUGGACUAGUAGAGGAAGAAAGCUUACAGAAAGUAGACUGGACUGUUCAACAGCGAAAUGUUUGCAGCCUUCAGUGCUCAUUUAGGAGCAGCCUGCUACCUCCAUCAACAAUGAUCCCUGACAGGUAAGAAAAACAAAUCUAGAGAGUAUUCCCAAAGAGCCGUAAGAUUCUUCAAGGCUGUUUCAAUGACAUGAACAUAACUCAAAUUUUUCUCUUUUUUCCUAGCAGGGAUGACAUGAUGCUUUGUCCAGCUUAGCGCAUACAGUUCUCCUCUCCUCAGCACGACUUCUUCUAGCUGACAGACAUGCAGUUCAGCUCUGCUGUGUCCUGCCUACCUGCUGCCUUGACUCCCUCUGGCCCAUCGGUGAUACUGGGCUCACUGGAGCACUGCCUGUGGCUAAAACUGGGCUGCAGGAGGAGGCAUUUGUCGGUACUGUCUGACUCCUCAAUCACCAUCCCUGUGUGCAUCAUGGAGGCCAUUGCCAGGAGCUGAAUGUCUGAGUGAGCAUUGGCAACAGUGUGGCGACGGAUGCUACCACACUUCUCCAGGUAUUAUCCAGCUUCCCAGCAGCACAAGAGUGGUCCCGUAUCCUGCUAUCACAGCAAAAUGGCACAGAUGUACAUCGCCUCACAUUAAUCAACCUGCGUACCCCAACAAGAGCUUCUGUAUGAUGCACAUGUCUUACCAAGCAAACAGGUGGUACCAGAGAAGCUGCGAUCCCCACACAAACACAGGGUUCAUAUCAGUUCAAUGAGGUUGAGAUACCCAAGUGGAGUCAAAGAAGAGCAGAGGCUCCCCACCUGCAGAAUUAACAGCAUCUGGACAACGGAAGCUGGGAGCUUUGUCUGGACCAGAGGAAGAAUUUCU